rnacentral:rRNA from 1 species
GACGAACGCUGGCGGCGUGCUUAACACAUGCGAGUCGAACGGAAAGGCCCUGCUUUUGUGGCGUGCUCGAGUGGCGCACGGGUGAGUAACACGUGAGUAUACUGCCCUUGAAUUUGGGAUAACUUCUGGAAAAUGGGGCUCAUAUAGGAUAGGAGCUAUUGCUGCACGGUGGGGGAUGGAAAGUUUCGGCGGUUGGGGCUGGGAGCGCGGCUUAUCCGCUUGUUGGUGGGGUAGUGGAUUACCAAGGCUUUGAAGGGUAGCCCGCCUGGGAGGGGGACCGGCCACAUGGGGACUGAGGUACGGACCAGAAUCCAACGGGAGGCAGCAGGGGGGAAUAUUGCACAAUGGGCGGAAGCGUGAGGCAGCGGCGCCGCGUGCGGGAUGACGGCCUUCGGGUUAUAAACAGAUUUCGCCGGUAACAAAGCGGGAGUGACGGUAAUGAGUAAAAAAGCACCGGCUAACUACGUG